GAUGAACGCUGGCGGCGUGCCUAAUACAUGCAAGUCGAGCGAACAGACGAGGAGCUUGCUCCUCUGACGUUAGCGGCGGACGGGUGAGUAACACGUGGAUAACCUACCUAUAAGACUGGGAUAACUUCGGGAAACCGGAGCUAAUACCGGAUAAUAUAUUGAACCGCAUGGUUCAAUAGUGAAAGACGGUUUUGCUGUCAAUUAUAGAUGGAUCCGCGCCGCAUUAGCUAGUUGGUAAGGUAACGGCUUACCAAGGCAACGAUGCGUAGCCGACCUGAGAGGGUGACCGCCCACACUGGAACUGAGACACGGUCCAGACUCCGAGGGGAGGCAGCAGUAGGGAAUCUUGCGCAAGGGGCGAAAGCCUGACGGAGCAACGCCGCGUGAGUGAUGAAGGUCUUCGGAUCGUAAAACUCUGUUAUUAGGGAAGAACAAAUGUGUAAGUAACUAUGCACGUCUUGACGGUACCUAAUCAGAAAGCCACGGCUAACUACGUG
rnacentral:rRNA from 1 species